UACGUAGGGACCGAGCGUUGUCCGGAAUUAUUGGGCGUAAAGAGCUCGUAGGCGGUUUGUCGCGUCUGCUGUGAAAACUGGAGGCUCAACCUCCAGCCUGCAGUGGGUACGGGCAAACUAGAGUGCGGUAGGGGAGAUUGGAAUUCCUGGUGUAGCGGUGAAAUGCGCAGAUAUCAGGAGGAACACCGAUGGCGAAGGCAGGUCUCUGGGCCACUACUGACGCUGAGAAGCGAAAGCGUGGGGAGCGAACAGG
rnacentral:rRNA from 1 species